UGCACACGAGCCCCAGAACUGAGACCU
rnacentral:piRNA from 1 species